rnacentral:lncRNA from 1 species
GACCACCGCUAAGAGUAAGCACCAAUACUAGGACUGUACAAUGGAAAUUAUGGAACGCAUCUUCUCACUCAAUCUCUUCAAAAUACGGUGCUCUGCUGUAUUAUUUGGAAUUUGGAUGCUAUGUGCAGCAUUCGUAUUUCAUAAACGAUCAAUGGUGAGGGGAACUGUUAACAAAGAAGAAGAAAAACUAAAUGCAAUAAGCCAAUAAUAGACAACAUCAUAUAAGAGAAAUAGAGUGAAACUUCAAUCUUAAAAUCUCACCAACAUUAAGAUUUAAGACGAUAAUUAAGGUAAAAACAUCAAGGGCACACAGUUCUACACUAUAUGGUUUCAAUAUGAGAACAGCAAGAUCCAGCUGUUGUCAUGCUGUAUCUUUAAUAGCUUCAUUCUCUAGUUUUUUUCUUCAAUGGAAAUAAGUAAAAAAACAGGGAUUAAAUUACAACACAAACCAGUGGCUACAGGCUCCAAAAACUUCUCUCUUGGAAACACUUAGAAAAGGAGUCUCAUUUGGAAUAUAAGAAUAUCAACAAGUCAUUCCAACUUAGUUGGGUUAUGUCAGAAAUAUAUGAUCAUGUUCAUGGAAGAAGAAAGUUUAUAAUAUAACAGCUGACAUGAAAUGUAUCUAACAAACAAGCAAAUUGGAUUCACAUCUGUUAAGUUUAUGAUCAUAAAUAUUUAUUUAUAAAUAUGAUCAAUGCUUUUUACAGAAGGAAUAUAUGUUAUAAAGAAUACAAAUAUACGAGAUAUGAAAUGUGAUAACAGAUAUGAAAUGUGUUUAGAUGAUGAAAUGACAAUAACUAGGGUGUCAAAUGAACAAAACCGAACUUUUGCAUAUAAACUCGGGUUCGAACUUAGCUAGUUAAAAAAUUGUCUAGCUGUUCGCGGGUUCAAACUUGAAAUUAAAAUAAAAUCUGAAAAAUAAAUAUAUAUAUAUUUACUUUUUAGAUUUUUAUUUUUAUUUAAUUUUUUUUAUAAUUUAUUAAAUAGUUCAUAUCAAUUAAUAUCUAUAACUUUUAAGUUUUAAUAUCUAUAUUUUAUUUAAUUAUUAAAAACACCUUAACGAUUUUAUCGAACCGAGUCCAGCUUUAAAAGCCCAAGCUCGAGCUCGCCUCGUUGGACUCGCGAACCCGUCGAACCGAGUUUUAAAAGUUCAAACUCGAACUCGACUCGUUGGGCUCGCGAGCUCGAGCUAAACGAGCCGAGCCCGUCGAACCGAGCUUUAAAAGUUAAAGCUCAACUGGUUGGGUUCGUGAGCUUGAGUUUAACGAGCGAUCGAGUCCGUCAAGUCGAACUUUAGUUGACACAAGAUUAAAUAAAUGAGAAAUAAACUAUCCUGUCGAGGAGUUGCAUACUGUGAUGGAAUGAUGGAUGAUAUAGUAGAUGACGACUUCACAGUAGAGAGCAACAACGAUGGUGGAAGAUUUACGAAGACAAUAGAUGUUCAGCAACAACGUUAAUGAAUGAUGAUGGAAGAUGAGUGGAUAGCGAAGAGAUGGAGCGAGUGGAGAUUUUGAAUGGAAUCAAAUCGGUGAAAAAAGUGGAGGGAGGUCUGAAUAUAUAAAAGGGUGAGUCCAAGUGGGCCACAUUAUUUUUAGAAUGUACUGUCAGCCCAAUCCAACUAGUAGGAUGUCAAACUCUCACUUGGCUUGUUAAAGAGUUGUCGAGGUUCUAGUUCGGACUUGAGCUCGAGCUCGUCGAGUCUGGUUUGGCAAAGUUCGAACUCGACUCGCUAAGGUAUUGUCUAGGCGACUUUGGCUAAGUUAAAAAAAUAUUAAAAUCUAAAAAAUAUCUAUAUCUUUAUUUAUUUAUUUUUUGAUUUAAGUUUUGAUUUAAUUUUUUUUAUAUAAUUUAUUUAAUAGUCCUUAUCAAUUUAUAUCUAUAACUCUUAAUAUUUAUAUAUUAUUUAAUUAUUAAAAAACCCUUAACGAGUUUGAACUUUAAACUCGAGUUCGGCUCGUAAGCCCGAGCUUAACGAGCCAACCCUGUCGAACUUUAGUUGACACCCUACUAAUUGGUGAGUGAUUGAUUCAACUCUUAAUUAGGGGGAUGAGGUUCAAUGAAAAGGUCAGAAAGUUACUUGAACAAUGGUAUACUAUUGGGAAAGUAAAUAUGUUAAACAAAUAACCAACUACAGUUGGUAGUUACGGUAAUCGAUAGUUAUAAAGAGAACCAUUGUAAAUCCAAAAGAUACACUUGAUUUCAAUUCAAUCAUUCCAGUAACACACACAUGUGAACCCACCUCCGUUUUGUAUUUCCAUCAUGGUAUCAGAGCAUCAAGAAGACGGGUACUCUCCGUCUCAGUUAGAUCCAACUUCCGCUGCGGGAGAUACAUCCAAGAUGAACGGGAAAAGUUCAACAAAGCUUGUCACCAAACAGAUCAAGUGCAUCGUGCUCGAAGAAGAAAAUUUCUUCUGUUAGAGAGCACAAUUCUCGGCGUUGUUGAGAGGCUACCAUCUCCUUGAAUACGUUGAAGGGAAGAUGGAGAUAUCUCCGGACAGCCUCGCCGAACAGCAAGACCAGCUCAUACUGAGCUGGAUCUUGACAUCAGUAUCGCCGUCGAUUCUCCCACAAGUCGCUGUUAUGACGACGUCUGCGGAUGUGUGGAAAUGCCUCAAUGAAAUGUUCUCAUCGGAUUCUGAAACUCGCCUCUUACAUCUCCGCUUUUAACUGCAAAGUAUACAGAAAGGGGAUCUCACCAUGCUCGAUUUCUUGAAGAAUAUAACCAUUGCAAAAGAUAAGCUAGCUGCGGCAGGGGAAGGAUUAAAAGAUUCCCAGGUCAUACUGAUUGCAUUGAGCGGACUAGGGCCCGAUUAUCAACCUUUUGUGACAUCUAUCACAACGAGGUUUGAUAAAUCAAUGACGUUUUCACAGUUCAAAAGACUCUUGCUCGAUCACGAUUUGCAAUACAUGUCCUCGACAACGGUUUCCCGGACUGAAGCCAACGUUGCCAUAAAACAUAAGUCCGAUGAUCGUCGAGACAAGGUGGUGUGCCAAAUUUGCACAAGAAAGGGUCAUGGAGCUAAGGACUGCUAUCAUAGAGUGAAUUUUGCAAAAUACCCGGCGGUAUCACAUUCUCGGCGGUUGAUACUAACAUGACUUAAUGAUCAAUCUAAUCAUCCGGGACCAAUUGCAAAUGUCGCAGUAACAGGACGGGCGUCAACGGUAUGGUAUCCUGAUACAGGGGCAACUGCCCACAUAACUCAUUCAGGUAUAUUACCCAAUAAUUUUGUUGAAUAUACGGGUAGAGAUUCUGUUUUCACAGCUAACGGAGGUACGAUAAAAAUCGAAAAAGUCGGAAAACUCGUAGUCUCGGAUCUAAUUCUAAAAGAAAUCCUACUAGUUCCUGAUUCUUCAAGAAAUUUACUGUCUAUAUCUCGUUUAUGUACUGACAACAAGAUAUAUGUAAAAUUUGACGAACAGAAAGUAAUAAUAGCGGAUAAGGAGACCGAUGAAGUUCUAGCUGAAGGGAAAAUGGAGAAUGGACUAUAUCGGAUGUCUCUAGACGUGAAUAAAGGACAUCAUGCUUUGUCGGCUCAGAAAAUUACGGGAAAGCGUUGGCACGCAAGGUUGGGACACUUGAACGAAAAAUCAAUUCGACAGUUGGUUAACAAAGAUGUAUUACCUAAUGAUACAAUCUGUAAAAAUAUAUCUAACUGUCAUUCAUGUGCUAUACAAAAAUCUCACAAUUUGUCGCGUAAAGAAAGUGAUCGAAGUUACUCACCGUUAGAAUUAAUAUUUUCGGAUAUCUGGGGACCCGCUCCGGUAGAGUCAAUCGGCGGAUAUAGAUAUUACGUGAAUUUUGUUGACGCAGCUACAAAUUUUAAUUGGGUAUAUCCUUUAAUCAAGAAGUCUGAGAUAUCUGGUGUGUUUCUAAAGUUCAAAGAAUGGGUGGAAAAACAAACUAAUUUCAAGAUUAAAUCCAUCCAGACGGAUAACGCCAAAGAAUACAAGGCUCUAACAAAAAUAUUUGAUUAGUUCGGAAUUGAUCACAGAUUCUCUUGUCCGUAUGAUCAUCCUCAGAUGGGUACAGUAGAAAGACGACACCGACAUCUAGUCGACACAGCAUUAACAAUGUUGCAUUUUGCAAAUAUACCCAAGGAAUUUUAGGACUAUGGGAUACUUACCGCAGCCACCCUAUAUAAUAAGAAUCCAACAAGAAUUCUUAAUGGAAUCUCUCCGAUGGAAGCAUUGUAUGGUCGCACACCAGAUUAUGAUAAAUUGCUCACAUUUGGCUGCAAAUGCUACCCAUGUCUACGUCAUCACCGGAGAAAUAAAUUAGAUGAUAAAUCAAUAGCAUGCGUGUUUAUCGGCUACCCGCAACAAAGUGAUGGAUUCUUGUGUUACAACCCAAAUGAAAAGAAAAUAUAUGUCUCCAAGAACGUUAAAUUUCUAGAAGACGACUUCACACUGAAUCAAUGCUUAUGGCCAAACUCCGACGACAAAUCUCAGCUCAGAGAUAGCAACACAGUUGACUCAAACGAUCUUGUGAUUAUAACGAAACCAACAUCCGAGUUGUCAAGCUAUCUAAAUCCGGCUACAACAAACAAAGCCAGCCCAACACCCGUUAUGAAGGAAAGAAUAUAUGCAAACCCGAUUGAGCAAAAUUCAGAUCCAAGAUCCAACAUCCAAAUCGAGUCAAGUCCGAUUGAACAAAGUUCAAGGAAUACUGAACAAAGCAUGACAUCGAACCGAUUUGCGCAAUCUGAAAGCGCAACAUCCGACGACGAGAUCACUGAAUCAGUCAACGAACGGGAACCGGAGGCAAUCGGAGGAUCAAUCGACGAUGGACGGGACGAAGAAACCGGGAAAAGAAUGGCAAAAAGAGCUUCGCAUGGGAUAACGAAGCCCAACCCGAAAUACAGUUUGUUAACAACAACGCAACAAACAGGAAUACCCAAGUCGGCAAAAUCAGCACUACAACACCCGGGGUGGAAAGCCGCAAUGGAGAGUGAGUACAACGCUCUAAUUAAAAAUGAAAUGUGGACACUAAUUCCCAAAACAGAGCACGAUAGGGUGAUAAACACUAAAUAGGUCUUCAAAGUAAAACAUGCAGAAGAUGGGACAAUCCAACGAUUCAAAGCAAGGUGGGUCGCAAACGGUAUGAGGCAGAUUGAGGGUUGCGACUAUAAUCAAACGUUUAGCCCGGUGGUGAAAGCAAACUCAGUCAGAGUUGUGCUCACAGUUGCAAUAACAAGGAAUUGGGUGUUGAAACAAAUCGAUAUUUCAAACGCCUUUUUACACGAAAAGUUAGAUGAAAGAAUAUUAGUAACACAACCAGUUGGAUUCGAAGAUAAGGAACGGCCGGAUCAUGUGUGUUUGCUACAAAGAUCAUUGUACGGCUUAAAACAAUCCCCGAGGAUGUGGUAUCGUAGACUACGGGAGUUUCUGGUUCAAAUAAAGUUCAAAGAAAAUUAUUCCGAUCUAUCAUUAUUCAUCUACGACCACGAAGGUGAACAAAUUUAUCUAUUCACAUACGUAGACGAUAUAGUCAUUACAAGAUCAUCGUCAACGUUGGUGAAAACAGUGAUAAGGAAAUUGGGUUCGGAGUUUGCGAUAAAAGAAUUGGGUGAUCUAAGAUACUUCUUAGGUAUUCACGUUCACAGAAUGGAAGGAAAGAUAACGUUAUCUUAACAACAAUAUCUUCGGAACCUGCUAACAAGUUGCGGGCAUAUGAAGUUGAAACCAUCCACUAGACCGAUGUUAUCCAACGAAAAAUUUCAAAUAAACAACGAUCACUCACCGGAUUUGAGUGAGUACCGACGAAUCAUCGGAUCCCUACAAUAUCUCACGUUGACACGACCCGAUGUGCAAUAUGCCGUAAACAAACUAUCACAAUUCUUGAACACGCCGACCUCCGGUCAUUGGACAGCUCUCAAGAAGCUACUUCGAUAUCUAUCGGGAACUCAAAACUUUGGGAUCACAUUAACUAAGGUGAAAGAUUUCAAUAUAACAUGUUAUUGUGACGUGGAUUGGGGAGGCGACCUCAUCGAUAGGAAGAGUCACACAAGAUACUAAUAUACAUCGACGGAACGUUAGUGUCAUGGUCUUCGAAGAAACAAGCAACUCUCGCAAGAUCCAGCACGGAGGCCGAAUAUAGAGCCAUAGCUACAGCAGUUGAGGAAGCAGAAGGAGUUCGACUGUUAUUGACAGAAUUGGAAGUGAAAAUUGGCUUGCCAACGAAGGUGAAAACCGACAAUCAAGGAGCUGCGUUUAUCGCAAACAAUCCUAUUUGUUACAGCAAAAUGAAACAUGUGGCAAUGGAUUUUCAUUUCAUCCGAGAAAAAUCCGAACAAGGGAUGUUGAAAGUAAGUCAUAUAUCAGGUAAAGAACAACUAGCCGACAUAUUAACAAAGCCAUUAUCGCCAAAGCUGUCCAACGAAGCAAGUAACAAACUAAUCGGACACUGCCCUAUAGUUUGAGGGGGAGUAUUGGGAAAGUAAAUAUGUUAAACAAAUAACCAACUACAGUUGGUAGUUACAGUAAUCGAUAGUUAUAAAGAGAACCAUUGUAAAUCCAAAAGAUAUACUUGAUUUCAAUUCAAUCGUUCCAGUAACACACACUUGUGAACCCACCUCGGUUUUGUAUUUCCAUCAUACACCACAUCAUCAUUUUCGGUAUUAGUCGAAGACGAACCAACGACCAUUUUCAGAAGUAAGCGG